GCACUGCAGGGCUCUGGGCGGGAAGGCUAACCUGGUGCGGAGCCAGCCUGGGUCUCAGCCCCGCGUACGGCCUUUCACGAGUCUUCAAGCCUUCAGGUUAUCUUUGUGGUGAUAUUAUCAAUGUACUGAUGUUUACCCUUUUCACUCUCAUUCUCCUACAACUGGAUGGUGGAAUUUUCCAGAACUUCAUUAUGUGCGAUAUGGCAAGAGAGAAAGUGAAUACGCUGAUAUAAGAAGCAAGAAACCUUCCUUCCUUCCAGAUGUGUGUCAGUAGAAUUACAGAGUGUCCACGGAAACAGCUCAUGCCCUAGUGUACAGUGGUGCAGCCAAUGAGUGACCUGAAGUCUAUGAGCAACACUCAUUGUCCCAAUGUGGGACGAGUGACCGAAGCUGAACCCACAACAGCCUUCCUGUGAUAUUCCACGUGGUGGUUAAAGAAUAUUAGAAAAAUAUUAUGAAAAUAGUUGAAGAGAAAUGUUAUGAAAAUAGUUGAAGCUGUACUUACUGCACAAGGAGACCAAGAAAAACUCCCACAAAAUCAGCUGCAAGUAAAUCCCUCUGGAUGGUGCCGCCACAUGUUCCUACAAGUCCAGAACAACCCUUGCCAAACCAAAGACACUUGGCAGAACCCUGUUCCUUUCUAGAGACAGAGCUGUAUACCUGUUCCAAAACACCACAUCUCACUCAGUGACUUAUUUCUCAUUAUGCUAAUUGUUUUGCUGUAAAGUGCCAAUGUUUCUGUGAAUUAAGACAUACGAAUAAAUUUCUGAAGUUACCCUUGCAUAUGUGUGUAAUUAGACAAGUCCUUUUGAGAAACCAGAUCCAUUGGGAUAUUUUACCCUGGAAUAUGUGUUUUCCCUUUGUAAAUUCAGAAAUCAAAGAGGAGGAUUAGUAAAACAG
rnacentral:lncRNA from 1 species